GAGUGGAGCGUGCUCUACGUUGUCAUAGCUGCAUUUAUCAUAUUGGUUGCCAUUGGAAUUUUAGUUUGGAUGGUCCUCUGCUUCUGUAAAAGACGCAAAGGAAAACCUAGAAGGAAGAGCAGAUAUAAAAUAUUAGAUGCUACAGAUGAUCAUGAAAGUCUGGAAUUGAAGUCUAACUCCAAGCCAGUUGGCAGGCUGAAAGCUCCAGCACAGAACACCAGCUUAAUGGUUUCAGAAUCUGAACUUGACAGUGAUGAAGCAAUCUUCACCUGGCCAGACAGAGAGAAAGGGAAAUUACUGCGAAACCAGAAUGGAUCAAUCCACAAUGGCCAAGUAGUUCAAAAAACUAAGAAACAAAGGGAAGAAAUCCUAUAAGCGGAAUGUAGCCACCUGACUUGUAGAAGCUAUAGAGCUAGGAUAGAAGCUGUCUCCCAGUAUUAUCUCUGCUCAGUAAAAUGAAGAUUGAUCUGAAGCAAUAGUGACUGCAGUGUUGCAUGCAGUGUGUCAUCCGUAUCUGCAAAAUGAGUCGGUUCAGCAUUUUAAUGCUUAAACUGUUCAUCUUGUGUGAGAUUAACAGAAUCUGAUUUCUCAUUUGAAGGUGAGAAAAAGACUUGGGAGAGAUGCAAAUUGGCCAAAAAAACUGUGGCUGCACUUGAUGCUUCAGCAAUUAACAAUCUGCAGUUUUGUGGUUUUGAUGCCCUGUGUUUCCAGUGAGACAUCUACUGGAAAUCUAUUGCACUGCAGCUUAAAAAUUUAAAGCCAAAAAUGUGACAUGGGAACACACUGGAUGUCUUGUGAACUUUAACCAUUACCCAAGGCUUGGAUAUGACCAUUUCCUUCAGUUCAGCAAUUGGAUAAAUAUGCUGAAGUCCAUGGAAAACUAAAUACUGUGAUACUAAGCGUUGUCUUGAGAUUCUGGAAAUUUUACUAUGAACUUCUACCAUUCUCUUUUCGAAGACUUGUAAUGCAAGUGAUCACAAAGGGAUUUAUUGUCUUCACUUGUUGUCUUAGUGAGUUGACUCCAGUGCAGAAGUGUUGCACAUCUGGUAAUGGCCCUGGAUUGUUUUGGGUUUGUAAAAAUAAUUAUCACUACUGUCUUUUUCUGUUAAUAUUAGGAAUGUGUUGGUUUUUAUUAGUGUGAAGUAUUGACAGAGUGUUCUUAAUUUAUUCUUUGGGAAGGCACCACUUUGCAAUGUUAUUCCCUUCCAAUGAAUGUAGGUCUGUAUUUGCUGCUCACUUGUUUCUCCGUUUAAAAAAAAAAGUCUUCCUUUUAAAUAUACUGACACCUGACAUCUUGAUACCGGUGAACGAUCCAAUUGGUGCUCAUUUUAAAGUGACAAAGGAAUAAUGUAAUGAGCAAGGCAUGAGUGACAGUCCCCCAUUUAGUGCCUUCCAAGAACAGAAAUAUUACUUAACAGUUUUUGAAGUAUAUAGUUGUACACAGCAAAACAAAAUGCUGUGCUCCUGAUAAUUAAAAAAGAAGUUUUAAAGGAACUACAUACCUUGGUUUAAAAUGGCAAAAAGUUGAAAACCUUGAUAACUGGAUCAAUUCUGGAUGAUUUGUUCAAAAGUUUAAACAAAACGUAGGUAAAAUUAUUUUAUUGAUUUGAUCUUUCAAUGUUGGCAAGACUGCACUAAUAACUUGGCUGCUUGUUAGAUUUAUUUCAAAAUCCAACCAGUAGUGUUAUAUUGUUAUUUUAAAAUGUCAAUGGUCCAUUACUUGGAAUUGCUGUAGGUAAAUAUUCUAACAGUUCUUUCAAUUGUAAUGUAACUUAAACAUUUGCACACAAUGAUUCCUGUCAGAAGAAUAAUGUAAACUGGAUUGCUCCUUAUAUAUAGUUGUAUGAGUAACUUUUUAGAAAAGAUGAUAUCGUCAGAAUGAGCUCAUUGGGCAUGUUCGUGGAUUUUUCCCAGUUUGGAGCAUUUAUCCUGUGAGCUGCUCUGUUUGUUUAAAAAGAGAUGGUAUGGGUCCAUGUUGCACUAUGGAAUAAAUAUAUCGAGCUAUGUGCUGCUGAGCUAUCCAUGAAGAUCUCAGUUCUUGGUGUGUGCUGCUGAAAUCUUCCCUCUGAUUCUCUUUGAGAAGGGGAAAAUUAUCCAGGUGUUUCUGGAAAAACGCAUCUAUUGAUUAGACUGAACUUAGUGGUGAUAACACUAGCUCUUGUGUAGUCUGUUUCUGCAUAACAAAAAGGCAACACAAAUGAUGUACCAAAAAGGCUGUUGGUAUCAAUUUAAUUGUACUGUAUUGCAACAUGUUUAAUUGACUUACAGAAAUAAUCCACGCACAGAGAAAAUGCAAUGGACAAAACCUACUAUUGUCUAUCUAUCUGUGGAUGUUGAGUACAGAAGGAGAAGGCCUGGAAACUAAUAUUUAGGAAGGAAAGAACUUAUGAUCUUGAUGUCCAAAAGUACUGAGUGACCAGUGAAAUGGUUUUCAAGUCCAAAAACUGUUGUAAUUUGGGGAAACGUGCCAGUCCAUUGUACAUUGUGAUAUGCCACAAACCACGAGAUAAAUGAUUUUUUUUUCCCGAAUUAGUUAGCUAGGGGAAAAAGUAUUGCAUGCAGAUAACUCACUGCUUCUCCACGCUUAAAGCAGUGGUUUCUUACACAAUUUGAGAGAUCAGAUGGGCUUUGGUUUAACAACUUAACUAAAAGAUGGCAUCCCUGACAGCAGUCAGCAGUGUACUGAUAUACAUCAGGGACGAUUCUGUGCUCAAGUCUUGAGCCAAGGAUGGCAACAAAUGUUCCAUUUGAACCAUUUUAUCUCUGUUGUUUUUUUUUAAAACCCAUUCCUGUUUGGAUUUGGCACAUAGCUGAGGAAAACGUCAAAGAAAUUUCUGAACUAGUUUGAUUUAUAUGUAAUCACCUUUAAUUGAUCAUAUUUAGAGUGGUAUAGCAUCCAUAAUUAGUUUUUAAUUCAUCCUGUACUAAGUUCUUAUAAAUUGCUUUUCCCAGGUGUCAUUGGCGGAAGUGGAGUUUGAAUUGACUGACAGAUUGACAAUGUUUCACAUAAAGGAUGAGAGAUGCAUUCUUUGAUUAAGCCACAGGCUAUCAUAAGCCAGAAUUGCAGAAAGGUCUUCCAUCCAUUUGUCCAUAUUCUAACAAAUGCAGGAUUUUUGGACAAAUUGAUUUAAUUUAUAAUACAAUUAUUUUACAGUAAACUUGCAGUUUAUAUAUUUCAUAAAUUCACAUGGUGGUAAAUCCUUCUGUAUUGCACUUGAUGAGGGGGAUAAGGUAAUCAUGAGAUAUUCUUAAAUACACUGCUUUUGAACCCAGGUAUACAAAAGUAAAUUUUCACUAAAAGAAUAAUACUUGGAGAUUAACCAUUCAUUUCUAAAACUAGACAAUGACCUUAGAAGAUGCAAGCAUUGAAUACAUUUACAAUUAUAGGGAAUGUCAACAAUUGUAUCGUUCACCUUUUCUUGCAUAGCAUACUGUAUUGAAAUGUUGCACUAUGCACCAGCAUUUGUCACUGUGGAGAAUUUUCAUAGAACUCGUGUGUUUUUUGUUAACUUUGUGAAGUACAAGUCCUGCUUUUAAAAGUAAGUGGAUGAUUUCUGGGAACAAGCAGCUGAUCAGUUGAAGUAAGGAUUUAAAAAAUUUGACAGUUUGCUUAUUUUGUUUUAAGUUUUGUCAAUAUCUAAAAUUUAUUUUUUAAAAAAAGCUAAAAACAUUUAUUUUAAUGUUUAAAAGGUUAACUCCUUCAUUGACAUACUGUUUAAUUGCCAGGUGUCCAAGAAGGUUUGUUUGAUGUGACAUUGUAUAAUACGGCGAAAUAACACUGGAGUAAGGAUUUUUUUCCAUUAAAAUGGCAUCUCAGUGCAUUUUCAUUUAGUUUCA